UUCGGAUAAGAGGCUGAAACUCGCCUCUUUGAAGUCGGAAUCGCUAGUAAUCGCAGAUCAGCAUGUUGCGGUGAAUACGUUUCCUGGUCUUGUACACACCGCCCGUCAAACCAUGAGAGUCGCCAACACCCGAAGUCCGCUUUGCGGCCUAAGGUGGGGGAGAUGAUUGGGGUUAAGUCGUAACAAGGUAUC
rnacentral:rRNA from 1 species